rfam:Dipodomys ordii contig_5878, whole genome shotgun sequence.
GGGAAGGUGGCUCAGUGGUAGAGCACUUGCCUUACAUGCAUGAGGCCCCGGAUUCGACUCCUUGGCACCUCA